GCGGAAGGAUCAUUAUUGUAUAACACGAGACAUUGAGGCUGUCGCUGACGAAAGUCGUGCACGCCUUGGUGUUCUUACAUCCAUUUCACCCUUGUGCAUCAUCGCGUGGGCCGUUCCCAUUGGGAAUGGUCUACGUUUUUAAUACAAACCCCUAUUGAUGUGUAGAAUGUGUACUUUGCGAUAACAACGCAACUAAUACAACUUUCAACAACGGAUCUCUUGGCUCUCGCAUCGAUGAAGAACGCAGCGAAAUGCGAUACGUAAUGUGAAUUGCAGAAUUCAGUGAAUCAUCGAAUCUUUGAACGCACCCUUGCGCCUCUUGGUAUUCCGAGGGGCACGCCCCGUUUGAGUGUCGUGAAAUUCUCAACCCCUCUUGGUUUUCUUUUGAAGGCUAAGAGGGCUUGGACUUGGAGGUUCUUGCUGGCAGCACUUUGCGAUCAGCUCUCUCUUAAAUGCAUUAGCGAGGUUCUCUUUGCUGACUCUUUGGCGUGAUAAGUAUCUACGUCUUUGGUGUGGCUCUGCUGUUAGAACUCUGCUUCUAAUCGUCUCUUUGCUGAGACAACUUGAGUCCUUCUUUAUUGAGGCUCUAACUCACACCCUUGACCUCAAAUCGGGGCGGGACUACCUGCUGAACUUAAGCAUAUCAAUAAGCGGAGGAAAAGAAACUAACAAGGAUUCCUCUAGUAACUGCGAGUGAAGCGGAAAGCUC
rnacentral:rRNA from 1 species